GAAGGUUGUAUUUAUUAGAUAUAAGCCAAUACCUACGGGUGUUGUGAUGAUUCAUAAUAACUGAGCGAAUCUGGGUUGUGCCCGGAUAGAUCGUUCAAGUUUCUGCCCUAUCAGCUUUCGAUGGUAGUGUAUUGGACUACCAUGGCGGUCACGGGUAACGGAGAAUAAGGGUUCGAUUCCGGAGAGGGAGCCUGAGAAACGGCUACCACAUCUAAGGAAGGCAGCAGGCGCGUAAAUUACCCAAUCCUGACUCAGGGAGGUAGUGACAAGAAAUAACAACUCGGGACACCCCGGUGUCUGCGAGAUUGCAGUGAGGACAAUUUAAACCACUUAUCGAGGAACAAUUGGAGGGCAAGUCUGGUGCCAGCAGCCGCGGUAAUUCCAGCUCCAAUAGCGUAUAUUAAAGUUGUUGCAGUUAAAAAGCUCGUAGUUGAAUCUCUGGCCGGUUGCGUUCACGGCAUUUGUCGGCUCGUCAGCCUGGUCAUCCGUAGGGGAAUCAGGUUCGGUCUUCACUGGUCGGCUUGUGGAACCUACAUUUUACUGUGAAAAAAUUAGAGUGCUCCAGGCAGGCAAUCG
rnacentral:rRNA from 1 species